rnacentral:lncRNA from 1 species
AAUCAAAAAAGCGGCAAAUCCAAACAAAGGGUGUGUUUGGUUCGAAGUUAAAAUCGGUAUCAGAAUUGAAAUGAGAAUAAGCUGGAAACGGAAUCGGAAUGAUUCAUUACCUUUUUUUUUUUGGUUCGUCAUAUGAAUCGGAAUGAUUUAUUGCCUCAUUAUGUUUUGUUUGCCAUCUAAAUCGAAAUCGGAAUGAACCAUUCACAUUGUCGAUGUUUGGUUCAGAUAGAUAUUAGAAAUGGGCAAUUGCUUAUAUACCCAUAAAAAGUUCCCGACUUUCUGAUUUACUCCUCUUAGGAGGCUAAUAUUGAAAAUAUCAUUUUUACGUUCCAAUCUAUUUCAAAUAUAUCUCUAGAGUUAAAAUAUAUUAAUAAACUCUGUUAUCUGUAUAAACUUACUAUUUUGCCCUUUCAAAUAUACUCUUCUACCAUCACUGACUUUUCUUAUUUGCCCUUAAGUCAGAGGCACAAAAAGUAUUUUAACUUUUGGUCUUUUCAAAUAUACCUCUCUACCGUCACCAACAUGGCAACAUUUCUUAUUUGUCAUUAAGUUAAGAGCAAAAUUGGCAUUUUAUUUUUUUUUAACUGUGAUAGAUAUUUAACUCACGUUUAACCCAAGUUAACUUAACGGGUCGGAACUGUAGGGGUAUUUUGGAAUAACGGAGGAACAUAUAAGGAGUAUAUUGAAAAGGAAAAAAAAAAGUAAGGAUAAAUAAGAUAUUUCCCAAGUUUUGAGGGGUAUAUAGACAAUUAUACUUAUUAGAAACAUAAUCAAACUAAUAUCAAUUUUAUCUUUAUAAUAUACUAGUUUAAAUUCAAACUGAAAUUAAAUAUUAAAAAUAUAGGUCAAUAUUUUAAAAUGAUGUCAAAAUUUUAAAAAUAAUUUUUUUAAAAAUUAAAAUUUGAAAUUAAAAGGAUAAUUCAAAAUAAAUAACUAAAAUUUGAUUUAUUCAAAUUCAAACUUAAAAAUUAUAAUUUCAAUUUCAAUUUGAAACCAUAAAUUUAAUGUAAAUUUGAAAUAAAAUUUUAAUAAAAUUUUAGAUUUUGAAUUUAUAAAUUAGAUUCGAAAUGCUUGAUUGAAUUUUAAUUUUUAAUUUAAAUUCAAAUUAAAAUUUACAUUUAUAAAUAUAAUUUUUAGACUUAAACUUAUAUUUUAAUUUAAAAAUAAGUUUAAAAAAUUUAAAUUUAAUCCGAACAAAUUCAUUCCGUACAGAUUCAAUUUCCAAUCCGGCCUCCAAAGCCGGAUUGUAAAAACGGAUAAUUGGGAGGAUUCUCAUUCACCCGGAAAUCGGAAUUAAAAUGAAGAACUCACAUACCAAAUACAGAUAAACGGAUUAAUCCAUUUCGAUUCCUAUUCCAGUUUGAAAAAUAGACAAACCAAACAGGCCCAAAGUCUAUUAUUUACCUUCCUUCUCUCACACUCCAUUUGACAUGACUCAU